rnacentral:rRNA from 1 species
GGAGGAUACCAGAAGUAGUUAGGCUAACCGCAAGGGGGCCGAUUACCACGGUAUGUUUCAUGACUGGGGUGAAGUCGUAACAAGGUAGCAGUAGGUGAACCUGCAGAAGGAUCA